UAGUCCACACCGUAAACGAUGAGAGCUAGUUGUCUGCAGGCAUGCCUGUAGGUGACGCAGCUAACGCAUUAAGCUCUCCGCCUGGGGAGUACGGUCGCAAGAUUAAAACUCAAAGGAAUUGACGGGGGCCCGCACAAGCGGUGGAGCAUGUGGUUUAAUUCGAUGCUACGCGAAGAACCUUACCUGGGCUUGACAUCCCGGGCUACCCUGUGAAAGCAGGGGUUCCCUUCGGGGACCCGGUGACAGGUGCUGCAUGGCUGUCGUCAGCUCGUGUUGUGAGAUGUUGGGUUAAGUCCCGCAACGAGCGCAACCCUCGCCCUUAGUUACCAGCAUUUAGUUGGGCACUCUAAGGGGACCGCUUGGCUAUAAGCCAGAGGGAAGGUGGGGAUGACGUCAAGUCCUCAU
rnacentral:rRNA from 1 species